rnacentral:rRNA from 1 species
UACGUAGGGUGCAAGCGUUACUCGGAAUUAUUGGGCGUAAAGCGUGCGUAGGUGGUUCGUUAAGUCUGUCGUGAAAGCCCCGGGCUCAACCUGGGAAUGGCGAUGGAUACUGGCGGGCUAGAGUGCGGUAGAGGGUGGUGGAAUUCCCGGUGUAGCGGUGAAAUGCGUAGAGAUCGGGAGGAACAUCAGUUGCGAAGGCGGCCACCUGGACCAGCACUGACACUGAGGCACGAAAGCGUGGGGAGCAAACAGG